rnacentral:ncRNA from 2 species
AUAAGUUCUCAGGGCGGGGUGAAAGUCCCCACCGGCGGUAAGGGCCGAAAGGCCUAAGCCCGCGAGCGCCUUCUCCUUGAUAGGGAUUCCCUCGGGGACCCCUCGGAGGGAAGGGUCAGCAGAUUCGGUGCAACUCCGAAGCCGACGGUUAAAGUCCGGAUGAAAGAGAACGGUC